rnacentral:sRNA from 1 species
GUGCAGGCAUCGCCGAGUCCUGCCAGCUGGCACGGGAGCGCACAUCCGCCAGGCAGGAGCGGGGGAACCACACCGGGCGUCGUGAGACGUCCUUGGGGUGAAGCCAGACGGCGCGCUCACGGGGAUGCGCGUCAGAGGCCGGGUGAUCUCCCACCCGAACCCGACAGCUCACCUCGUAGGCGUCAGGAGAGGUUCA